rnacentral:rRNA from 1 species
GCAUCAGGUAACAUCAAAUCGUACCCCAAACCGACACAGGUGGUCAGGUAGAGAAUACCAAGGCGCUUGAGAGAACUCGGGUGAAGGAACUAGGCAAAAUGGUGCCGUAACUUCGGGAGAAGGCACGCUGAUAUGUAGGUGAAGCGACUUGCUCGUGGAGCUGAAAUCAGUCGAAGAUACCAGCUGGCUGCAACUGUUUAUUAAAAACACAGCACUGUGCAAACACGAAAGUGGACGUAUACGGUGUGACGCCUGCCCGGUGCCGGAAGGUUAAUUGAUGGGGUUAGCGGUAACGCGAAGCUCUUGAUCGAAGCCCCGGUAAACGGCGGCCGUAACUAUAACGGUCCUAAGGUAGCGAAAUUCCUUGUCGGGUAAGUUCCGACCUGCACGAAUGGCGUAAUGAUGGCCAGGCUGUCUCCACCCGAGACUCAGUGAAAUUGAACUCGCUGUGAAGAUGCAGUGUACCCGCGGCAAGACGGAAAGACCCCGUGAACCUUUACUAUAGCUUGACACUGAACAUUGAGCCUUGAUGUGUAGGAUAGGUGGGAGGCUUUGAAGUGUGGACGCCAGUCUGCAUGGAGCCGACCUUGAAAUACCACCCUUUAAUGUUUGAUGUUCUAACGUUGGCCCGUAAUCCGGGUUGCGGACAGUGUCUGGUGGGUAGUUUGACUGGGGCGGUCUCCUCCUAAAGAGUAACGGAGGAGCACGAAGGUUGGCUAAUCCUGGUCGGACAUCAGGAGGUUAGUGCAAUGGCAUAAGCCAGCUUGACUGCGAGCGUGACGGCGCGAGCAGGUGCGAAAGCAGGUCAUAGUGAUCCGGUGGUUCUGAAUGGAAGGGCCAUCGCUCAACGGAUAAAAGGUACUCCGGGGAUAACAGGCUGAUACCGCCCAAGAGUUCAUAUCGACGGCGGUGUUUGGCACCUCGAUGUCGGCUCAUCACAUCCUGGGGCUGAAGUAGGUCCCAAGGGUAUGGCUGUUCGCCAUUUAAAGUGGUACGCGAGCUGGGUUUAGAACGUCGUGAGACAGUUCGGUCCCUAUCUGCCGUGGGCGCUGGAGAACUGAGGGGGGCUGCUCCUAGUACGAGAGGACCGGAGUGGACGCAUCACUGGUGUUCGGGUUGUCAUGCCAAUGGCACUGCCCGGUAGCUAAAUGCGGAAGAGAUAAGUGCUGAAAGCAUCUAAGCACGAAACUUGCCCCGAGAUGAGUUCUCCCUGAGACUUAGAGUCUCCUGAAGGAACGUUGAAGACGACGACGUUGAUAGGCCGGGUGUGUAAGCGCAGCGAUGCGUUGAGCUAACCGGUACUAAUGAACCGUGAGGCUUAACCUUACAACGCCGAAG